rnacentral:rRNA from 1 species
UACGUAGGGACCGAGCGUUGUCCGGAAUCAUUGGGCGUAAAGAGCGUGUAGGCGGCCACUUAAGUCCUGCGUGAAAUCUUGCGGCUCAACCGCAAGCGGUCGUGGGAAACUGGGUGGCUAGAGUGCGGCAGAGGAGACUGGAAUUCCUGGUGUAGCAGUGAAAUGCGUAGAUAUCAGGAGGAACACCGGUGGCGAAGGCGGGUCUCUGGGCAGUAACUGACGCUGAGGAGCGAAAGCGUGGGGAGCGAACAGG